rnacentral:rRNA from 1 species
CUACGGGGCGCUGCAGUGGGGAAUAUUGCACAAUGGAGGAAACUCUGAUGCAGCAACGCCGCGUGGAGGAUGACACUUUUCGGAGCGUAAACUCCUUUUAUAUAGGAAGAAGAUGACGGUACUAUAUGAAUAAGCGCCGGCUAACUCCGUGCCAGCAGCCGCGGUAAUACGGAGGGCGCAAGCGUUACUCGGAAUCACUGGGCGUAAAGAGCGUGUAGGCGGAUUAAAAAGUCAGAAGUGAAAUCCUAUAGCUUAACUAUAGAACUGCUUCUGAAACUCUUAAUCUAGAAUGUGGGAGAGGUAGAUGGAAUUUCUAGUGUAGGGGUAAAAUCCGUAGAGAUCAGAAGGAAUACCGAUUGCGAAGGCGAUCUACUAGAACAUUACUGACGCUAAGGCGUGAAAGCGUGGGGAGCAAACAGGAUUAGAUACCCCGGUAGUC